CCUGAAGCUAUUCCUCCCAAACCGGAAAGUCCUCCCCCUGAAGUGCCUGAAGUGCUGCCACCGAAGGAAGUGGUCCCAGAAAAGAAAGUACCGGUGCCUCCUGCCAAAAAGCCAGAAGCUCCACCUCCUAAAGUGCCUGAGGCUCCCAAAGAAGUUGUUCCUGAAAAGAAAGUGCCAGUGCCUCCUCCUAAAAAGCCUGAAGUGCCACCCACAAAAGUCCCAGAGGUGCCAAAGGCAGCUGUCCCAGAAAAGAAGGUGCCUGAAGCUAUUCCUCCCAAACCGGAAAGUCCUCCCCCUGAAGUGCCUGAAGUGCUGCCACCGAAGGAAGUGGUCCCAGAAAAGAAAGUACCGGUGCCUCCUGCCAAAAAGCCAGAAGCUCCACCUCCUAAAGUGCCUGAGGCUCCCAAAGAAGUUGUUCCUGAAAAGAAAGUGCCAGUGCCUCCUCCUAAAAAGCCUGAAGUGCCACCCACAAAAGUCCCAGAGGUGCCAAAGGCAGCUGUCCCAGAAAAGAAGGUGCCUGAAGCUAUUCCUCCCAAACCGGAAAGUCCUCCCCCUGAAGUGCCUGAAGUGCUGCCACCGAAGGAAGUGGUCCCAGAAAAGAAAGUACCGGUGCCUCCUGCCAAAAAGCCAGAAGCUCCACCUCCUAAAGUGCCAGAGGCUCCCAUAGAGGUUGUUCCUGAAAAGAAAAUGCCCUUGGCUCCUCCUAAAAAGCCUGAAGUCCCUCCUGUUAAAGUACCAGAGGCUCCCAAAGAGGUUGUUCCUGAAAAGAAAGUGCCCUCGGCUCCUCCUAAAAAGCCUGAAGUCCCACCUGUUAAAGUGCCAGAGGCUCCGAAAGAAGUUGUUCCUG
rnacentral:lncRNA from 1 species